rnacentral:rRNA from 1 species
GACGGAAGGUGCAAGCGUUGUCUGCGGAAUCACUGGGGCGUAAAGGGUGCGUAGGCGGUUUGGCAAGUCGGAUGUGAAGGCUCCGGGCUCAACUCGGAGAUGCCAUUCGAUACUGCCAUGACUAGAGUCCGGUGAGGGGGGUGUGGAAUUCCCAGUGUAGCGGUGAAAUGCGCAGAUAUUGGGAGGAACACCAAUGGCGAAGGCAGCACCUGGGCCGGUACUGACACUGAG